rnacentral:misc_RNA from 1 species
UUAUGGUUUGCGUGAGGGAUAGAGGCGGUAUCCUUUUGCGGGCGAAGCAGAGCAAAAGAUAAAGCCGAAAGCCCGACCCGCG